rnacentral:rRNA from 2 species
GUCGCUCCUACCGAUUGAAUGGUCCGGUGAAGUUUUCGGAUCGCGGCGACGCCGGCGGUUCGCCGCCGGUGACGUUGUGAGAAGUUCAUUAAACCUUAUCAUUUAGAGGAAGGAGAAGUCGUAACAAGGUUUCCGUAGGUGAACCUGCGGAAGGAUCAUUG